rnacentral:rRNA from 1 species
UACGUAGGGGGCAAGCGUUGUCCGGAUUUAUUGGGCGUAAAGAGCGUGUAGGCGGCCAGGUAGGUCUGCUGUGAAAACUCGAGGCUCAACCUCGAGAUGUCGGCGGAAACCAUCUGGCUAGAGUCCGGAAGAGGAGAAUGGAAUUCCCGGUGUAGCGGUGAAAUGCGCAGAUAUCGGGAAGAACACCCGUGGCGAAGGCGGUUCUCUGGGACGGUACUGACGCUGAGACGCGAAAGCUAGGGGAGCAAACGGG